AGGACGAACGCUGGCGGCGUGCUUAACACAUGCAAGUCGAACGGUGAUCUUGAGAGCUUGCUCUCGAGUGAUCAGUGGCGAACGGGUGAGUAACACGUGAGUAACCUGCCCCAGACUCUGGAAUAACCCCGGGAAACCGGAGCUAAUACCGGAUACGAGACGGAGCCGCAUGGCUACCGUUUGGAAAGUUUUUCGGUCUGGGAUGGACUCGCGGCCUAUCAGCUAGUUGGUGAGGUAACGGCUCACCAAGGCGACGACGGGUA
rnacentral:rRNA from 1 species